AUGGUUCUGAGCCCCUGCAGACAGGGCGUCGUCCCCAGGACCCAGAAUCUUUCCUUUCACCUGUGCCCUGAGCCUUCAGCUUCAACCCCUUGCCUCAUGACAGCCAGCUGGUUCUGCCUUGGUCCUGCGACCCCCGAGACAGAAGAACCCACCCCCCGGGCUCCAGUGCCUGGCGCCUUCAUGGAUGGUCAAGGUAUCUCCCUGCCACCACUGCUCUCUACGACCUGUCUCUGCCUCCCAGGGGUCGCUUUAUGGUCACCAUGGCCAAGCCCUGUCAUCCACCGCUUCCUAGGGAGCCAGGAACACUCUGGGGUGUGCGUCACCUGCAUAGCUGUGUCACUUAGCCCCUAAAUGACAGUUUUCAACUGCUGUACUGCUUUCUACACAGCAGUAGAAAACCAUUUCCAAACUGCUGUUGUUUCUGUUUGUUCCUGGUUUCUGUCUUUUAAUCCUUUUACCUUUCUGUGGGUUUAUCAGACAUCUGGGACCACACCAGUCAGUCCUUAAAAACCCUUGGAUCCAUCAGGUGGUGGUUCUGUGGGUGCUCUGCUGCUGAUUUGUGCGUGUAGUUGGAUGUGGCUGCAUGCUACAUUUUGAGAACAUUGUGUAACACCACACACACAGACACACACACUUCCCGAAACAGCCUUGGAAGCAGCCACUAAGAACAUGAAGCUACUUACACAAGUUCAAAGUCUCCUGGGAAGGGCUCCUCCAUUCAAGCCAACCUACGCAUCUGGUCACCAGGCACACACACCCACAUUUCAGAUCCUGGGUCACAUUUGCCCCAUGGAUUCUUCUCUAACAAGCGAUACCCCCAGGGGCAGCACCUCACACGUAUCAAUGUUUUCUCCAUCUGAUGUCUCGGGAGAGUCUCACCUCAGUUUCUACUAGUGGACGUUACUCUCUUCAUCUUACACGUGAGAAAAUCUGAGUUAUUCAAAUGACGCGUGAUGUAGGUGGCAGACUAAGCCUUACACACAGAUCCUUUUUGGAGCCACAAUCUCCUCGUCACAAAUAACCCCUUAAGAAAUCACCACUAAAUAGCUAACUAGCUUUAGGGGAGGGUUAUUGGUUAAAAAAAAAAAAUAGUAUAAGAACAAAUUCACACUAUGCAGAAAGGUAUGAAAAAGACUGAAAAAAAAUAAAAAAAUAAAAGCCCAAUUCCCCAAAGCUAACCAUUCUAUCAUGUGGAUAUGUAUCCUUCCAGGCUUUUUUCUAUAAGAAGAUGUUGUUUUAAGAUCCAAUACUGACCAUUUUACUCAAAUCGUCUCACACCUGCUCCCUGAGCAUAUACGAACAGGAAGGAGGGACUCAACACUGAAAAAAGUGUGAUUGUUUUGGAAAUGAGAAAACUCAACGAUUAAGUGUCCUUUAAAAAGUAGUUUUACUGAUGUUUAGUCUAUAACAUUAGAGAUUUCUCUUCUCUCUUUUAAAUGUUUAAACAGAGGGCAGAGUCUGACGAAUGAGGCGAGAAAAGUUCGGAGGCAAAAUAUAAAAUGUCUAGACUAAGUACCCAAAAUGUGCAUUAGAGAUGAUGGAGCGAUUCGAUCAGGAGAGAGGGGUCCCUCAGUGUAACCCCGGGAGGGGGGGUACCUGCUAAAUGGCCCAAAAAGGAAAAUGAGAAGCGGCAGGAAUUGGGGUGGGGGACCAGCAGAGAGAACAGACACUAACUAGAGGGUGUUUCCAGGAAUGGGGAGAUUCCCCCCUUUCAUGAAAAGAAGCAGAAAACCAUGUCCAAUGGAGAGCAGACUUGUGGAUGCCAGGGGUGGGGUCAGUAGAUGCAAACUAUUAUUUUUAGAAUGGAUAAGCAAUGAGGUCCUGCUGUACAGCACAGGGGACUAUAUCCAUUCUCUUGGGAUAGACCAUGAUGGACGAUAACAUGUGGCAAAGCGUGUGUGUGUGUGUGUGUGUGUGUACACACACACACAUGUGAUUGGUCACUUUGCUGUACAGCAGAAAUUGGCACAACACUGUAAAUCAACUAUACCUUAAUUAAAAAAUUUUUUUUGUCUUUUUUUUUUCAGGACCACACCUGAGGCACAUGGAAGUUCCCAGGCUAGGGGUCAAAUCCGAGCUGCAGCUGCCGGCCUACACCACAGCUGCAGCAACGUGGGAUCCAAGCCACAUCUGUGACCUACACCACAGUUUACGGUGAUGCUGGAUCCUUAACCCACUGAGCG
rnacentral:lncRNA from 1 species